rnacentral:rRNA from 1 species
UACCUGGCUCGGGAGUGAACGCUAGCGACAGGCUUAACACAUGCAAGGUCGAGGGGCGAGCAGGGGAGUAGCAAUACUCCCGCUGGCGACAGGCGCACGGGUGAGUAACACGUAUGCAACCUGCCCUUGUCAGGGGGAUAAGCGGAAGAAAUUCCGUCUAAUACCGCAUAACGCUGCGGGGAGACAUCUCCCUGCAGCCAAAGAUUUAUCGGACAAGGAUGGGCAUGCGGCGCAUUAGCUGUUGGCGGGGUAACGGCCCACCAAGGCGACGAUGCGUAGGGGUUCUGAGAGGAAGGUCCCCCACACUGGUACUGAGACACGGACCAGACUCCUACGGGAGGCAGCAGUGAGGAAUAUUGGUCAAUGGCCGGGAGGCUGAACCAGCCAAGUCGCGUGAGGGAAGACGGUCCUAUGGAUUGUAAACCUCUUUUGUCAGGGAGCAAAAACUGCCACGCGUGGCAGGAUGAGAGUACCUGAAGAAAAAGCAUCGGCUAACUCCGUG